rnacentral:tRNA from 1 species
GGAGAGGUGCCAGAGCCCGGUUGAAUGGGUCCGAUUCGAAAUCGGAAGUCCCGCCCUAAAGUGGGACCGUGGGUUCAAAUCCCACCCUCUCCGCCA